UUCUGGACGACAAGGCUGGGAACGUAUCAUCAGAGAGCUAAAUAUGGUGGGCGCCACACCAGAACAAUGCAGAAAGAAGUGGCUGAACCUGCAGCAGACAUACAAGAAGCUGAAGGACCCACCCACUGGCGCCGGGAGUGAGGAUGGGGAGUUGUCAUGGCCCUAUUACUCAUUAUUAGACAGCAUCAUGAGUGGUCGGGCCAUUAUCACUCCACCAUGCCUAGUCUCCUCAGCUGGUGUGGCGAGUCCAGUGCCACAGGCUGCAGCAACUGAGUCGGAUUCAUCUAACAACACGAGCCCAGAGGCAAGUGAAGAAAGGAGGCCAGUGAAACGCAGGCGCUGUGUCUUUGAUAUGGAGGCAGGCCUCCUGGAGGAAAUGCAGAAGCAGACAG